UGCCGGUAGACUCAUGAUUCGUUCGUCCAGAACAGGACCUCCCACGGUGAAGUGAUAGAGACUCUGAAAAUUUGAUCCUUUAAUCCCAAGCACUUCAUGCACUGGAUAGCAACAACAACAAUAGCAUUUGGAUUUUAACAUUGAAAUGUCAUGCAAUGAAGAAUUGCUAGGGGAAAGGAAUCUGUACCAGGGUCGUCGAAGUAGCAGCCGAUUCCUGUUGCAGAUAUGCCAACAGCAUGUGCUUCGAGGUACAAAACUUGUCCUAGAACUCCAGUCUCCCAAAACAAUCGAGGAUACAUCCACACUUUCUCGCGCAAAA